rnacentral:rRNA from 1 species
AUACGGAGGAUCCAAGCGUUAUCCGGAAUCAUUGGGUUUAAAGGGUCCGUAGGCGGGCAAUUAAGUCAGAGGUGCAAGUUUGCGGCUCAACCGUAAAAUUGCCUUUGAAACUGGUUGUCUUGAAUUAUUAUGAAGUGGUUAGAAUAAGUAGUGUAGCGGUGAAAUGCAUAGAUAUUACUUAGAAUACCAAUUGCGAAGGCAGAUCACUAAUAAUAUAUUGACGCUGAUGGACGAAAGCGUGGGGAGCGAACAGGAUUAGAUACCCUAGUAGUCC